rnacentral:rRNA from 1 species
AUGGAUGGCGCUUUCUUGUGUGUAUCGACAUGUCACAUUACUUGUCUACCGAAGAUAGGAAUAAGUCAAGGCUGUUUCUUUCUUUUUAGUGCCUUCCGUUUAACCCAACUCAAGCUGAAGAAACUUAUUCAAUGGUCACUGCUAACCGCUUUUGGUCCCAAAUCUUUGGUGUUGCUUUUUUCUAAUAAACGUUGGCUACAUUUCUUUAUGCUAUUUGUACCCGUCACCGGUUUAUGGAUGAGUGCUAUUGGCGUAGUUGGCCUGGCUCUGAACCUACAUGCCUAUGACUUCGUUUCCCAGGAAAUCCGUGCAGCGAAAGAUCCUGCAUUUUAG